UAUUGGACAAUGGGCGCAAGCCUGAUCCAGCAACGCCGCGUGGGUGACGAAGGCCUUCGGGUCGUAAAGCCCUGUGGGGAGGGACGAAAGUUCCUGACCUAAUACGUCAGGGGCCUGACGGUACCUCCUUAGCAAGCACCGGCUAACCACGUGCCAGCAGCCGCGGUAAUACGUGGGGUGCAAGCGUUGUUCGGAAUUACUGGGCGUAAAGCGUGUGUAGGCGGCCCGCUAAGUCUGGUGUGAAAUCCCCAAGCUUAACUUGGGAACUGCAUCGGAAACUGGCGGGCUUGAGUCCGGGAGAGGGUAGCGGAAUUCCUGGUGUAGAGGUGAAAUUCGUAGAUAUCAGGAGGAACACCGGUGGCGAAGGCGGCUACCUGGACCGGUACUGACGCUGAGACACGAAAGCGUGGGGAGCAAAC
rnacentral:rRNA from 1 species